rnacentral:lncRNA from 1 species
AUAACCAACAAGACUUGCCCAUAAUUCUGAAUAGCUCUCCACUACCUCAGCCCAAUUCAAAACAUCUCAAAGAGUGAUAACUUGACCUGAAAGAUUUAUAUAACAACGAAGUGAGCUAAAAACAGCUUAGCAAGUGACAAAGCAUAUUCAGAACAAAAGGAACGGUUUCAAACAAGUAAGAUAUCAUAAUGCAAGGUAGAAUACAAGAUUUCUCAAGGAUACCAUCUCAUUAGAUACAAAAUCAUAGGUGUCAUGUCAUUCAAAACAUAUUUGGUUCAUAACAAAUGGAGCACAGAGUAAUUGGAGCAUAUCAAUAACGUACGAGAUGUUCCGGAGCAUAUCAAUGGCAAAUAGGACAUUUCAGAACAUAUCAGGUCAUAGCAAAUGGAACACAGAGUAAUUGAAGCAUAUCAAUAGCGUAUGAAAUGUUCCGGAGUAUAUCAAUGACAUAUGGAACAUUUCGAAGCGUAACAAUAACAGAUUAAACAGAUAGAAUGUGAAGUGGGAUUCCAAACAUAAUAUGGUCCAUCCAUUUCUGAAUGACCACCAAACAUAAUCUAGAGC